ACAACGAAGACAUUUCUGGGCGUCUGCACGAAGCUGGGGAGAGAAAGAGAGCAGGAGAAGAUCAGCAUCACGACGACUGUGAGUACAUUGGAUUGCUUAGAUCGUUGUUUAUAUCUGGAUGAGAAAGAGAGCGGGAGAAGAUCAGUAUCACGAAGACUGUGAGUACAUUGGAUUGCUUACAUAUCAUUGCUCAUACUUGGAUAUGGAUAACUAAUAUCUGCUGGAGUGAUUAACAGCUUGUUGAGCAGCCCCAUCGUUGGAGGACGAGACGAGUGGGUGAGCCGAAGUAGAGUGUGGGUGAAUGGAUGUUAUUUGGCUGUGGCCACACCGUAAAGUUUGGAGCACUUACCGUGCCAGCGACUGCAAACUCCUCCAGGACGAAAUCCGACUGGGCGUGGAGUACCGACCUUAAAAAUCACUGAAGUGUGUGUAGUGCAGUGGGUGAGUCUGUCUUUGACGUGUGUACACCGAAGUUUUGCAGUGCUGUGCCGUGUCCCUGUUGUCUGUACUCGCCCUCCAGGCCGAGAAAAGUUCCUGUUGGAGAGAACGUAGGCUACUGUGACGGUGCCCACCUAUCCCACCUACGCCCGCCUAUAACUCCGUUCCCCGGACCUAGCUUGAAGGAGGUGAAGCGUGAAUGCAAAACAAGGUAUUGUGCGGAUAUUGUGGGGAAAGCUAAAAGCUAUUGCCCUUGAAUACGCUCUGUAAGCCCAGUGUGAAGAGUCAGUCACCUUGCUCAAUACCUAUCUGUGUUACGAGUAAAAAGUUACUCGCUUCGAAUAUACCGGUGGACAUCCAGGGGCAUGACCUAGUUACCUUGCUACAUCCUUACCUCUGUUACUUACUUGUGCCCUCAGGGACUUGUGUGUUACCUUGUACUUACCUAGGAGGUCUAUGGGAGUGGAUGAGCUGUCCAGACGCUGGAGAAGAGAAGGGCGCCACGGGAAAUCAAGCCGCUAAGAAAGGACUUAGGAUCAGUCAGGAGAUUGGUGGGAGUUCUGGGAAAGGACGAAAGAGCCCUUUGCCCCCCCCUCCCCUUGUGAUUACUUACCAACGACCUCCAGAGUUCUCAGGCCCAGUCCCCUCCUGGCAAGAGACGAAAAUCAAAAUUUUAGAUUCCCCUUUCUCCUUUCCUAAAUUCUUUUUAAAUAAUUUAAAUAAAGUUGCUUUAAAUUAUUCUUAACUUAUCUUGUGUGUCUGGUCAUUGGGGUGAUCUUGGGACCUCCUCGAGGUGGUAGCCAGGAAGGGGCGUGACUCGCAACACCUGUGGUCCGCUCCGACCUGUGACAGUAUGCUGUUUUGAUAGCUCAUGGUUUAAUAAAAAUACAGUUUAUAAAGGGGUAUGCUGUUUU
ensembl:lncRNA